CGAAGUCAACUUCUCUUCGAGAGCAAGCAUUGCAGCUUCAUUGACCUAAAAUUAUUGGAAAUGAAAUUGAGAGAGAGUUGAUGUGAUUGUCAACCUGAUGAUGCUAAAUGGUAAUGAUAAAAGGAAAGAAGCAUAAUGAAA